rnacentral:lncRNA from 1 species
AUGGCAAAACAUCUGAAGUUCAUCACCAGGACUGUGAUGGUAUAGGAAGGGAACGUGGAAGGUGCAUAGAGGACCCUAAACAGAAUCCUCACUACGGAUGGGCUCACUGAGGACAUUAAGCUUCGGCGGUAUUAUGAGAAGCCAUGCGGCCGGCGACAGAGGGAAAGCUAUGAAAAGUGCCGGCGGAUCUACAGUAUGGAAAUGGCUCACAAGAUCAACUUCUUGAUGCGAAAGAAUCAGGCAGAUCCGUGGCGGGGCUGCU